GCUGGCGGCAUGCCUCAUACAUGCAAGUCGAACGAAAUCUUCGGAUUUAGUGGCGCACGGGUGAGUAACAUGUGGGAAUCUACCUGAAGGUUCGGAAUAACUGCGGGAAACUGUAGCUAAUACCGGAUGUGUCUGCAAAGAGAAAGAUUUAUCGCCUUCAGAUGAGCCCGCACUAGAUUAGCUAGUUGGUGAGGUAAUUGCUCCACCAAGGCUACGAUCUAUAGCUGAUUUGAGAGGAUGAUCAGCCACACUGGGACUGAGACACGGCCCAGACUCCUACGGGAGGCAGCAGUAGGGAAUAUUGGACAAUGGGGGAAACCCUGAUCCAGCAAUGCCGCGUGAGUGAAGAAGGCCUUAGGGUUGUAAAACUCUUUCAUCAAUGAUGAUAAUGACAUUAAUUGAAGAAGAAGCUCCGGCUAACUUCGUGCCAGCAGCCGCGGUAAUACGAAGGGGGCUAGCGUUGUUCGGAAUCACUGGGCGUAAAGCGUAUGUAGGCGGAUCAAAAAGUUAGAUGUGAAAUCCCUGGGCUCAACCCAGGAACUGCAUUUAAAACUAGUGAUCUAGAAUUUGGUAAAGGUUAGUAGAAUUUCCAGUGUAGAGGUGAAAUUCGUAGAUAUUGGAAAGAAUACCAGAAGCGAAGGCGACUAACUAGGCCAUUUUUGACGCUGAGAUACGAAAGCGUGGGUAGCAAACAGGAUUAGAUACCCUGGUAGUCCACGCAGUAAACGAUGAGUGCUAGUCGCUGGUGCAAUAGUAUCAGUGUCGUAGCUAACGCAUUAAGCACUCCGCCUGGGAAGUAC
rnacentral:rRNA from 1 species